UUAAUUUUUAUAACUCAAUAACAUAAAUAAAAAUACAAACACACAGAUAUCUCUUUUUAUUAUGUUUUCUCGUACACACAUUUACAUAUUACAAAUUAUCACAUUUUAAAAUGAAACAAAAAUUACAUUAAACCAAACCAAAAAAUUACAAAAAUAACCCCAGAACAUUCUGGAAAUGCUGGGUAGGCUCCUGGAUCAGCACCGCCACUGGCAACCCGUAGACAAGGGGGGCUGUAACAGCCUCCUCCCCUCUUCCUUUCCUCGCCGACCGUGACCUGCAAAAAUACUCAAAAGGCAACAAGACAAUUGGUUUUCAUUUUCUUCUCUCCUUCUCAGAUCUGGUUCUCUCCCGGCAGCUCCUCUUCUUUUCGUUUCCCCUCCUUCUCUAUUUCAGGCGCUCAGCAGUGUGACCAAAGGGCUGCUGGCCUUUGGGUUUCCGUCCGGUCUGCAGGCGGUGUUGCAGUGUCUCCGCUGCAGUGGAAGGCUGGCCGGCGAGAGCUGAGUCUGCUGCCGACCGGUUGAAUGGGACGACGAGAUCGGGGAAGAUCGGUCUGGGUUCUGUCGGAGAAAGAAAGAGGAUCCGGUGAAGAGGGAAGGUCCGUGGAAGUGGGGUCUUCGGGUGGCUGGUUCAGGCCGUUGCUGUUGAGGAAACCGAAGCUGCUGCUGUGGUGGGGUGGGCCGUUGCUGCUGGAAGAAGGAGAAGCCAAAGGGCAACAGUUGAGGGACGACCGGCUUUGGCUUCCUUUGGGGCUGAGGGGCAGGGUAAGCUUCGGUUUUUUCUUCUUCUAAGGGAGCGGCGGCCUGGGAGCAGAAGAGGGAGGACACCGGGGACUGGUCUUCAGGUGGCGGCUGCUUUUCUUUUGUGGUCAAGGGUGGCCGGCUCAAGAGUGAUGGAGGGCAGGGGGAAGGCUGCCAGAGGAAGAAGAAGAAUCAAAAGGGAAGGGGGCCGGUUCCUUUUUUGGAGGAGAAGGGUCGGUUAUGGGUCCGUCAGGGAGGAAAACUGGUGAAGAUGAGAGGAAAUGGGGGAAGACUGCCAUGGCAGAGCAGGUCUUC
rnacentral:lncRNA from 1 species